GACGAACGCUGGCGGCGUGCUUAACACAUGCAAGUCGAACGGAAAGGCCCUGCUUUUGUGGGGUGCUCGAGUGGCGAACGGGUGAGUAACACGUGAGUAACCUGCCCUUGACUUUGGGAUAACUUCAGGAAACUGGGGCUAAUACCGGAUAGGAGCUCCUGCUGCAUGGUGGGGGUUGGAAAGUUUCGGCGGUUGGGGAUGGACUCGCGGCUUAUCAGCUUGUUGGUGGGGUAGUGGCUUACCAAGGCUUUGACGGGUAGCCGGCCUGAGAGGGUGACCGGCCACCUUGGGACUGAGAGACGGACCAGACUCCUACGGGAGGCAGCAGUGGGGAAUAUUGCACAAUGGGCGGAAGCCUGAUGCAGCAACGCCGCGUGCGGGAUGACGGCCUUCGGGUUGUAAACCGCUUUCGCCUGUGACGAAGCGUGAGUGACGGUAAUGGGUAAAGAAGCACCGGCUAACUACGUG
rnacentral:rRNA from 1 species